AAUAUCAAAGGUGAGCCAGUACAGGAUGGACCCGCGUCUGAUUAGCUAGUUGGUAAGGUAACGGCUUACCAAGGCGACGAUCAGUAGCCGACCUGAGAGGGUGAGCGGCCACAUUGGAACUGAGACACGGUCCAAACUCCUACGGGAGGCAGCAGUGGGGAAUAUUGCACAAUGGGCGAAAGCCUGAUGCAGCAACGCCGCGUGAGUGAUGAAGGCCUUCGGGUCGUAAAAC
rnacentral:rRNA from 1 species